rnacentral:rRNA from 1 species
GUCCACGCCCUAACGAUGGAUACUCGACAUACGCGAUACACUGUGUGUGUCUGAGCGAAGCAUUAAGUAUCCCACCUGGGAAGUACGUCCGCAAGGAUGAAACUCAAAGGAAUUGGCGGGGUCCGCACAAGCGGUGGAGCAUGUGGUUUAAUUCGAUGAUGCGCGAGGAACCUUACCUGGGCUAGAAUGCUAGUGGAAUAUAGGUGAAAGCUUAUAGUGUAGCAAUACACCGCUAGUAAGGUGCUGCAUGGCUGUCGU